rnacentral:tRNA from 1 species
AGCAGCGUGGCUCAGUGGAAAGAGCCUGGGCUUGGGAGCCAGAUGUCGUGGGUUCUAAUCCUGGCUCUGCCG